GUCACUUUGCCGGAGUGGUUAACGGGAUCGCCUGCUACCAAAGACUGGAUCGUUAGCGGUUGUGCUUUGCACGCGAGUGUUCGAAUCGCUCAGGUGACG